rnacentral:lncRNA from 1 species
CAUCAUAAGCUUUCAUCUUCUAAUGAACUCCAUUGUUAUGAUGAAGUCCUUAGGACUAUUUAGAUUCGAUAAAGAGAGGAUUUAUCGAUUAGUCCUUAAAACUGUUCACGACCAAAUGAUAAGCUGUUAAUAAGGAUGACAGCUUCUAUCGAGCAUAGGUCGCUGUAGGCCAUAUGGGUUGGUUGUCCUCUUAACCAAGGAGUGUGGAGACACUGGUAUGGCAUACAGGUGAGAUAUAAGGGUACAUCAUCAUUGAACGUGACCAACUCCAGAGCAUUCUGCUGUCAAGAAUGUCUCU